UCGCAUAUGAUGAGUUUACUCGGAUUCCCCUUCAGGACAUCUUUGGAUGAUGCGAAAUCGAGUUUCUGAUGCA